GCUCUUCCUGUGAGGAGGAGAUCGCGUUUCCCCGCGGCACCCGCGGACACCAGGCAGCCCGGGCGGGUGCGCGGCCAGGACCCGCUCCCCGCGCCGCCUGCUCCCCGCGUUCCCGGGCGCCGCCCCCGCCCGCGUCUAGGCUCCGAGAGGCGACUUGGAGAGCAAGGCGGCGAGGGCGACUGGCGAGCCGAGCAGGCCGCCCAGCCCGCGGCUCAAGCGUCGGCGCGAGGAGGGGGCACCGCGGCCCACCUCCUUCCUGCCUGGCCGCGGGCCGGUCGGGCCGCCGCGCCUGACCCCCAUGGCCGCCGAGGCCUCCGGGCCGCUACGUCGCAGCGCCAGACGCAGGGUCCCCGAGUGAGCGCGGGCGCCGAGUGCUCUCCGAGGUCCUGGUCUUCAAGAUAUCUGGCAGCAACAACCUUGACUUUGGAAUGCUUGAGGCACUGCCCCAGGGGACGCCUGGAGCCAGCACAGCACAGCUGCCUCAGGCCCCACCUGCCAUUUCCUCUUUGCCCUUUUGCUUUCCCAGAGCCACCCCCUUGGGCCAAAAAAAGCCUGAAAGAGAGGAAAUGAAUUGGUCCUUAUUUCCCCCAUGGAGGUCCAGGGAGGUCCAGAGAGACAUUCGUGUGUUCACUCAUUGAAUUAGUGAUUUUUGAAACACCUGUGAAUUACUAGGUCCUAUGGUAUGUGUUGGAUGGUCCUCUUGCCACAUCCGCCUACAGACCCACUUUGAAGUCUCUCCCCCUCCCCACCCCCAUUGUUUGGAGGAAAAAUCUGUUGGUUGCCAGUGAGUAAUCCUUGGGCAAAUUCAUCUCCAUUUUCCAGUUUUUGGUGUUGAUUCCUGCGGUUCUCUCCCAUCAGGUCAUGGUUGGUGGAGCUGGCCAUAGUCUGCUAGGUGAGAUGCCCAGCCCACCACUUGGCUACAGUCCCCACCCCUUCCUAGUAAGCCCCUCUUGACCACAUUUCACAUGGUAGUGUUGGCUUCCCAACUAUAAGCCCAGAUUCAUGUGGCUUUUCAUCAGUCCUGAGACCUUGUGUGACCCUCAGUCACUCUAGGACAUGGGAUGGGAAGAGAAAAGCACCCACUAGCUUUCAUUUCAGUUAAUGAGAGAAUUUAUGCUAGGUUCUUAGAACUGGCCUAUGCUUAGGCUCCCCUUGUUUUUUAUUAUCAGUGUUGCAUGAACCACAUGAAGGCUUCAACCUGGUCCGAGGACCCUGUGUGUCUCAUGGCAUCUCAGUUUGGAGAAGCACCCCUAGCCUCUGGGUGGGCCUUUCUGGGAGUCCCAUUCUGGGAUGGGCUUUCCCCCCAGAGUCAAAUCCCAGUCUACUCCCUGCUCCCCAGCCUGGCCUCAGGAAGUCCCAGCUCCAGCUCCUGGUCAGCCUGCUCCAGGGCAGCUACCCCAUAGGCUUUACCUUCUUAUGCUAAUAAGCUACAUUAAUGCUUAAAGGUCACAAAUGCCCAAGUUUAAUGGGGGG
rnacentral:lncRNA from 1 species